CCUACGGGAGGCAGCAGUGAGGAAUAUUGGUCAAUGGGCGCAAGCCUGAACCAGCCAUCCCGCGUGCAGGAUGACGGCCCUAUGGGUUGUAAACUGCUUUUGUACAGGAAGAAAAAUCUCUACGAGUAGGGAACUGCCGGUACUGUACGAAUAAGCAUCGGCUAACUCCGUGCCAGCAGCCGCGGUAAUACGGAGGAUGCAAGCGUUAUCCGGAUUCAUUGGGUUUAAAGGGUGCGUAGGCGGCUCUUUAAGUCAGUGGUGAAAUCCUGCCGCUUAACGGUAGAAUUGCCAUUGAUACUGAAGAGCUUGAGUACAGUUGAGGUAAGCGGAAUGUGUAGUGUAGCGGUGAAAUGCUUAGAUAUUACACAGAACACCGAUUGCGAAGGCAGCUUACUAAACUGCAACUGACGCUGAUGCACGAAAGCGCGGGGAGCGAACAGGAUUAGAUACCCUGGUAGUCCACGCUGUAAACGAUGCUCACUCGCUGUAUGCGAUAUACCGUAUGCGGCCAAGCGAAAGCAUUAAGUGAGCCACCUGGGGAGUACGAUCGCAAGGUUGAAACUCAAAGGAAUUGACGG
rnacentral:rRNA from 1 species